rnacentral:rRNA from 1 species
GACGAACGCUGGCGGCGUGCCUAAUACAUGCAAGUCGAGCGAAGUUUUUCUGGUGCUUGCACUAGAAAAACUUAGCGGCGAACGGGUGAGUAACACGUAAAGAACCUGCCUCAUAGACUGGGACAACUUUUGGAAACGAUAGCUAAUACCGGAUAACAGUAUUUCUCGCAUGAGAGAUAUUUAAAAGUUGGUUAUGCUAACACUAUGAGAUGGCUUUGCGGUGCAUUAGCUAGUUGGUGGGGUAAAGGCCCACCAAGGCGACGAUGCAUAGCCGACCUGAGAGGGUGAUCGGCCACACUGGGACUGAGACACGGCCCAGACUCCUACGGGAGGCAGCAGUAGGGAAUCUUCCGCAAUGGGCGAAAGCCUGACGGAGCAACGCCGCGUGAGUGAAGAAGGAUUUCGGUUCGUAAAGCUCUGUUGUUAGGGAAGAAUGGAUAUGUAGUAACUAUACAUGUAAGAGACGGUACCUAACCAGAAAGCCACGGCUAACUACGUG